rnacentral:rRNA from 1 species
AGGACCAUAGCCAUCCGAAAGGAUGGGUAAUAGUCCAUAGUCUCGUAAGAGUAAAGCACUAAACGGUGCGCCGAGGGAGGAGCUUACGUCCUAUCAGCUAGUUGGUGAGGUAAAGGCUUACCAAGGCUAUGACGGGUAGCUGGACUGAGAGGUCGAUCAGCCACAACUGCACUGAGACACGGGCAGUACACCUACGGGUGGCAGCAACCAGGAAUAUUUGGCAAUGGACGAAAGUCUGACCAAGCGACGCCGCGUGGAGGAUGAAGGCCCUCGGGUUGUAAACUCCUUUUGAUAGGCUCUUCACGGCCUAUAGAAUAAGCCCCUACUAACUACGUGCCAGAAGUCUCGGUAAUACGUAGGGGGCAAGCGUUAUCCGGAUUCAUUGGGCGUAAAGUGUGCGUAGGCGGACUUCAAAGUCCUCAUUUAAAGGCUAUGGCUUACCCAUAGUUUGGGUGAGGAUACUGGAAGUCUUGAGGAUUGAUAGGGGUGCUAGAACAGUUGGUGUAACAGUGAAAUGCGUUGAUAUCAACUGGAAUACCGAUGGCGAAGGCAGGCACCUGGGUUCUUCCUGACGCUGAGGCACGAAAGCUAGGGUAGCGAAACAGAUUAGAGACCUGUGUAGUCCUAGCCGUAAACGAUGUCCGCUAGCUCUCUCUUACGAGGGGGUGUAAGCUAACGCGUUAAGCGGACCGCCUGGGGAGUACGACCGCAAGGUUAAAACUCAAAGG